rnacentral:rRNA from 1 species
UGGGGAAUUUUGGACAAUGGGCGAAAGCCUGAUCCAGCCAUGCCGCGUGCAGGAUGAAGGCCUUCGGGUUGUAAACUGCUUUUGUACGGAACGAAAAGACUCUGGUUAAUACCUGGGGUCCAUGACGGUACCGUAAGAAUAAGCACCGGCUAACUACGUGCCAGCAGCCGCGGUAAUACGUAGGGUGCAAGCGUUAAUCGGAAUUACUGGGCGUAAAGCGUGCGCAGGCGGUUAUAUAAGACAGAUGUGAAAUCCCCGGGCUCAACCUGGGAACUGCAUUUGUGACUGUAUAGCUAGAGUACGGCAGAGGGGGAUGGAAUUCCGCGUGUAGCAGUGAAAUGCGUAGAUAUGCGGAGGAACACCGAUGGCGAAGGCAAUCCCCUGGGCCUGUACUGACGCUCAUGCACGAAAGCGUGGGGGAGCAAACAGGAUUAGAUACCCUGGUAGUCCACGCCCUAAACGAUGUCAACUGGGUUGUUGGGUCUUCACUGACUCAGUAACGAAGCUAACGCGUGAAGUUGACCGCCUGGGGGGUACGGCCGCAAGGUUGAAAC